UCCAGCCGUACUACUACCAAAAGCAAACCCACUGAGAGCUAUUUAUAAAGCUCCACCAAAACGUACCCCAAUCCUAAUAUAUUUAGAAUUUCUACUCUAAUAAAUAUUUAAAUCUUAAUUGAUUUAUCUCCAAUAGAUUUAAAUAUUUAGCCUAAUCUAGUUAGAUUCAUAGUCUAAUUAAUAUUUAAAUCAUAAUUUAUCUCCAAUAAAUUUAAAUAUUAAUUAUAAUUCAAAUAGGAUUCAACUACAAAUCUAACCAAAUCCUAACAAUCUCCACCUUGGUUGGAUUUGUAAUCUUCAACCGCUACGUCGAGCUCACCAUGCAAGCUCCACNUAACUUAAUCUGAAAAGAUGAAAAAUAUGGCCCAUCUUUACAACAAGGCAAAACUAGCAGAUUUUUCGUAAGAAACACCUUUUUUUUUAGAAUAGGUAGCACGCUACCUGCUUCAUUCAUUGAAUGGAUGAAUUUGGCUACAGAGAUGAGACAACAAAGGCCUCAAAAAAAAAAAAGAAAAAAAGAAAAAAAAAAGGAUCAAAGCAAAUCUUUCCACGAAGAUAGGAGAAUCUUAAGCCUCUGGACCGUUAAAACAGGGUCGAACUGUUGAUUACGAAAGAUAAGGUUGUUCCUGACCUUCCAAAUUGUCCAUCAGCAUGCGACCAAUUCGGAAAGUCCAUUACUCCUACCUCGCAUCGCUGCCUUUCCCAUCCACUUAUCCCAAACUACAAGUACGUCAUCACCUAGUUCCUCCGUGCGCACAUCCUCGAGUACCAUCACCAUGAUAUACUUAAUAAACACGCAUUGAGUGAAAAGAUGAUCCACAGAUUUGUCGUGGGCCCUACACAACACACAGACUGUGUCUCCCAUCCACCAUCUCUUAACAAGAUUAUCGGUUGUGAAUGGUCUUUUUUUAAGGACAAGCUAGCAGAAUAUCUUGACCUUGAGUGGUAUGCUAAGCCUCCAGAUCUUGGUGGCAUGUCCAUCCCUCGUUCCUCCAUCGUUCAACAUCCUAUAGGCCGAUUUUACUGAGAAUGUGAUGUGUGGAUGUUAUUCUCCUAAACAUGUCUACAUUGGGAGCGUGGAUAGGCCUCGUCUGGACCGAUCACAUCCAUUCAUUAGAAUCUUCCUUUAUAUAUAUGGUUCCAAGAAACUAGUAACCCUCCAAAUUAAGAGUAAUGUUACUACUGAUCAUAGCACAAAUUACGCCCCAAAUAUUAAAAUAUAUUAAUUUUUGCAAAUUAAUAGUUUAACUAUUGAUUAAACUUUUUACCUUAUAUGCCACAUUUAAAAUUUGACUCGUUAAUUACAAUCAAAGCACUUAGAUCAUGGACACGAGUAUACUUGUUAAUUCCUCUUAUUUAUAAAAGAUACAAUAAUUGAUAUUGUUGGGAAUCCGGUACUCGUUCCGGUACUGGAUCUUGUAAAUCCGCAACAGAUUGUUGGGAUUCCGCAACGGAAGCGUCGAAUCGGAUUUUCACCAUAAACCAGUCUCCUCAGCAGAAGCUGAUACAAUUAUAAAAGAGAAAAAUAUACAGGUAAAAUAAGAUUCAAUUAAAUGAGAGAAGAUUACAUUGACUCCUCUUCUGCACAGAGUAGCUAUAACUCGAGCCCUCUUUCUGAAUAUCUUCUAUCCUUCUCUCGUCUUCUAUAAACUCAAAAGAAGACUUCUCUUGUUGGUACACCCGUGCAAUAGGUACAUCAACUCUUUAACUCUCUCUCUCUUUUUCUCUCUCUGGUACGACACAUCCCAAAGGCUCCAACCGUACUACUACCAAAAGCAAACCCACUGAGAGCUAUUUAUAAAGCUCCACCAAAACGUAUCCCAAUCCUAAUAUAUUUAGGAUUUCUACUCUAAUAAAUAUUUAAAUUCUAAUUGAUUUAUCUCCAAUAGAUUUAAAUAUUUAGCCUAAUCUAAUUAGAUUCAUACUCUAAUUAAUAUUUAAAUCAUAAUUUAUCUCCAACAAAUUUAAAUAUUAAUUAUAAUCCAAAUAGAAUUCAACUGCAAAUCUAACCAAAUCCUAACAAUCUCCACCUUGGUUGGAUUUGUAAUCUUCAACCGCUACGUCGAGCUCACCAUGCAAGCUCCACCUUGAGUUUGUCUCCUCCGCUCGAUGUCGCCACAUCUGUCGCUUCGCGUCGAGCGACUGCACCUCUGCGAACUUUUGGAACCCAAACCGUCUUUACUUCCGUUCUAACCGUGCUCCCGUUCAGAAGGUACAAGUUCCUGCGUUUGUUCGCCUCGCACACGACCCGAUCUCGCUUUCGGACCCUCAUAGCUCCACCUGAAGCCGAAAUAUUGCAACUCUUCGAGUCCAAUGCGUCUAACAAGAUUAAAUUUCGUUUUAAACCAGGAACGUGUCGCACAUCUGUUAGCGUCCUCACGACCCCUAUCGUGCAUUCGGAUCUUCGCCGUGCCGACUCCCAAAACUUUGCACGCCGUCCCGUUCCCCAUCAAAGCUUUUCCACCAUUAAUUGCCUUACAGGUGGCAAAAUACUCCUUCUUCGGGCAGACGUGAAAGGAAUAUGCCGAAUCGAGCACCCACGUAUCAUCCGAAAUUUUCGCACCUCCGAUCGCCGCAUACAGGACAUCAGAAUCCAUCAUCUCCAAUUCUGCAGCCUGCGCCAUCGCUGAUACCGUCUCGUCCUGGUUCACGAUAGUUUUCUCCUUCUGUCGCUUUAACUCCUUCAAAUCAUUCUGAAGUUCCCGACAGUUGCGCUUGAUAUGCCCUUUCCUGUGACAGUAAAAGCACUCCACCUCGGAUAGUGGCUUCUUCUGUCGAUCUCCAGUCGCCGAUGUUGUCGCCUCCUUCUUCGCUCUCACCAUCAAAGCAGUAUUCUGUCUCUGCGUGCCGGACUCCUGAGUCAUCUUCCGCAUCUCGUUCGAGAGAAACACCGCUGUGACCGCCUCCACGCCUAUGGUCUCCUUGCCAUAAAGCAACGUGGUCACCAGAUGCUCAUAUGUCGCCGGUAGCGAAGAUAGUAAAAUCAGCGCCUUAUUUUCGUCAUCCAGAUUGACUUCGAUGCUAGUCAACUGGGCCACCACCUUGUUGAACUCGUUCAGAUGCUCAUGUAGGCUUGCCGCUUCUUGCAUCCGCAGCAUCAACAGUCGUUGCUUCAGAUAUAACCUGUUCAUCAAGGAUUUGGUCAUGUACAAAUCUUCUAAUUUCUUCCACAACUUCGCCGGUGUCGUCUUGCUGGCUACGUUGUAAAGAAUGUCAUCUGCUAAUAAUAGAUAAAGUGUACUCAGCGCCUUCCGCUCCAUCUUCGUCCAUGCCGUAUCCGUGACCUCCGCCGACUUUGCCUCUUUUCCGUUCAACGUUUCAUCUAACUCUUGCUGUACGAGGAUCGCUUGUACUUUAAUUUGCCACAAUCUGAAAUUGUUCUUGCCGUCGAACUUCUCGAUUUCGAAUUUCGUGGCCAUCUUCGUCGAUCUCUCCCUUGGAUCGAUAACCUUCAGCUCUGAUACCAAUUGUUGGGAAUCCGGUACUCGUACCGGUACCGGAUCUUGUGAAUUCGCAACAGAUUGUUGGGAUUCCGCAACGAAAGCGUCGAAUCGGAUUUUCACUAUAAACCCGUCUCCUCAGCAGAAGCUGAUACAAUCAUAAAAGAGAAAAAUAUACAGGUAAAAUAAGAUUCAAUUAAAUAAGAAAAGAUUACAUCUGAUUCUUCUUCUGCAGAGAGUAGUUACAACCCGAGCCCUCUUUCUGAAUCUCUUCUACCCUUCUUUCGUCUUCUAUAAACUCAAAAGAAGACUUCUCUUGUUGGUACACCCGUGCACUAGGUGCAUCAACUCUUUAACUCUCUCUCUUUCUUUUUCUCUCUCUAGUACGACACAUCACAAAAGCCGUACUACUACCAAAAGUAAACCCACCGAGAGCUAUUUAUAAAGCUCCACCAAAACGUACCCCAAUCCUAAUAUAUUUAGGAUUUCUACUCUAAUAAAUAUUUAAACCUUAAUUGAUUUAUCUCCAAUAAAUUUAAAUAUUUAACCUAAUCUAGUUAGAUUCAUACUCUAAUUAAUAUUUAAAUCAUAAUUUAUCUCCAACAAAUUUAAAUAUUAAUUAUAAUCCAAAUAUGAUUCAAUUACAAAUCUAACCAAAUCCUAAAAGAUAUGUUUAGCUUCAAAACAUAUUUAUUG
rnacentral:lncRNA from 1 species